rnacentral:misc_RNA from 1 species
GAUGAAGAACGCAGCGAAUCGCGAUAUGUAGUGUGAUCUGCCUCUAGUGAAUCAUCAAAUCUUUGAACGCAUCUUGCACCCUUUGGUAUUCCAAAGGGUACGCCUGUUUCAGUAUCAUUAUAACCUUUCUCCCCAAGGCUUUUUGGCCAAGGAGGGAAAGAGCAUAACCGGUAGCCCAGCGGUCUCCCUUCAGGGGGAUUGUCUCGGCUGGAAUGACUGUUGCAAUGGUGGGCCAAAUGGUCUUCCGCACUUGAUAAAUGUACUUUUAUAAAGAGCGGGACCGGUCUGCCGAAAGUUGUAACUAAACCCGUUACCUUUGAUCUGAAAUCAGGCGGGAUUACCCGCUGAACUUAAGCAUAUCAAUAAGCGGAGGA